GAUGAACGCUGGCGGCGUGCUUAAUACAUGCAAGUCGAGCGAUCGGACAGGGGAGCUUGCUCUUCUGUUACGGAGCGGCGAACGGGUGAGUAACACGUGAGCAACCUGCCUCGGAGACGGGGAUAACGUCGGGAAACCGGCGCUAAUACCCGAUAACCCAGUCGGAGGACAUCCUCUGAUUGGCAAAUGUUCCGGCGCUUCGAGAGGGGCUCACGGCCUAUCAGCUUGUUGGCGGGGUAACGGCCCACCAAGGCGAUGACGGGUAGCUGGCGUGAGAGCGCGACCAGCCACACCGGGACUGAGACACGGCCCGGACUCCUACGGGAGGCAGCAGUAGGGAAUCUUGGACAAUGGGCGAAAGCCUGAUCCAGCAACGCCGCGUGAGGGAUGACGGCCUUCGGGUUGUAAACCUCUGUUGUCGGGAAAGAAGCCGGGUGCAUAACCCGGUGACGGUACCCGACGAGGAAGCCCCGGCUAACUACGUGCCAGCAGCCGCGGUGAGACGCAGGGGGCGAGCGUUAUCCGGAUUCACUGGGCGUAAAGGGCGCGUAGGCGGUUACGUUAGUCCGGCGUGAAAUAU
rnacentral:rRNA from 1 species